UAUUCAUAAAAAGUAGCGUUCCUGUUAGAUGGUUAGCCUGUGGAUAGAUUGGACAAUUAAUUAGACAUCAAUGGGAGAGAAGUGGUUGGCGAUCAAUGGAUUGCGUCCUUUUCCCUUGUUUGGUUCUCUCUCUCUCUCUCGCUCUCUCUCUGCUCACUUCGAAUAUGAAAUCUGCUGAGCCAAGUCAUGCAUAGAAGUCCCUAAAGCUAGCAAGUACAAAAUCUGAACACAAAGAUGUUUUUCAUGGACGGACCAAGAAGCAGCAUUGCUAAUUUAUUGAUUGGCCUAUCUGGAUACGUCUUCAUCAACAUAUGGUUUCUAACAAGAUGUCAUGAAGUAUUGCUUCUUUUGCCAAUCAACUCACCCAUGCUUUAUGCCAAUUGACGAGACAGUUUCUUUCAUGUUUGCUAUAAAGUGAUUCGAUUAGUAUUCAUUCUCAUGAUAAAUUUUAGUGGUUCAGAUGAUGGUGCUUUUAGCCUUUUUUAGGCCAGGUUUUGAAAAGUUAAGGCAGGCAGAGGCUUGGUCAGUGUUAUUGGGUUUUAUCUUAUGUUUCUAUGAAAACACAUUAACUAUUUAUCCAUCUGCAGGCUUCUUUUGUCCUUUGUCGAGUGUUCUUCAAAUCUUGUAGUGGAAAUAGCAUAUUGGAUAAUGGCUUAAGUUCUUGUGCUGAGGAAGCUGUUUCUGCAGUGCGUCACAUUGGCAUUCAGCACAAUGGAUUCCUUACACCUGAUAUUCUUGAAGUUAAAAUGCAUGAGGAGAAUUCUGUUUCUGGUGCCAGCAUUCUGCAUCAGUUAGGCAUGCAGCCUCGGGAGCUGAAGAGCUCGUCUGUACUUCCAGGAAGUAGUGCAAAGAUUUUUGAAGGUCUGACUGACCAGCAAGCACUUUCCAUUUUAGAGGAAGAUUACGUUGAGUUGGACGAUCUUGUGCAGUAACUAUUCAUCAGAGACUUUGAAGCAGUUGAUUAUAAAGAUAUAUGAAUAUUCAUUGGAAUGCUCUGGCUGUUACUGGAAAUUACUGUUUCAGGAUUGAAUUUAGAUACUCAACAACAGAUGCGAAGGGAUAAAUCUUAAACAACCUUUUGUGAAAUUUUUAAACAAUAUUGAGAUAUGUUAUGGAAGGAUGACUUGGCCUUAUAAGAUUUGUUCUCAUGCCUGAUAAAAGGCAAUUUAUCCCAACAGCACACACAGAGAUUAUUAUGAUUGACAAUGGUAAAUUAAGUUAUAUGAGUGUCAGCUGCUUCACCUGACUUGAUAAAGCUGCAGUUGAUGCAUUGAUGGUAGAGGUUCUUCUUCCUCAUUUACAUAUAAUUUCCACCACC